rnacentral:rRNA from 1 species
UACGUAGGGCGCAAGCGUUGUCCGGAAUUAUUGGGCGUAAAGAGCUCGUAGGCGGCUUGUCACGUCGGUUGUGAAAGUCCGGGGCUUAACCCCGGGUCUGCAGUCGAUACGGGCAGGCUAGAGGUAGGUAGGGGAGAAUGGAAUUCCCGGUGUAGCGGUGAAAUGCGCAGAUAUCGGGAGGAACACCGGUGGCGAAGGCGGUUCUCUGGGCCUUACCUGACGCUGAGGAGCGAAAGCGUGGGGAGCAAACAGG